CGGCCCAUUCGGUCUGUACGCUUCAUUCUCAUUUCCUCUCGCGAUUAGAAAUUCGUGGCAGUUUUCCUGCUGACUCCAAGUCCGGAUUGCGUAGGUGGUUUUUUGAGGAGAUGGUCACGGUGAAUAGCUUGCCGGGCCCUUGUACACACCGCCCGUAAAAAAGGGGGGGAGGGGGGGUUUNNNNAAAUUAUUUUUUUGGCGUCUUCCCCCCCUUCCCCCUGGUAAACCCCCCCCGGUAAAAAUGGGGGGUUUUCGGGGGAAGGGAAGACCCCCCCCGGUAGGGGUGGCGGGCGGUUUUGGGUCGUAAAUAGUACAACGGGACGAGGGGGGGUUUUUUUUUGGAGAGAGAGNGGG
rnacentral:rRNA from 1 species